GACAGACAGACAGACAGACAGACAGAACAAUGUGUGUCCCAAAUAGCACCCUAUUCCUUUUAUAGUGCAUUACUUUGGGACCCUGUGGACUCUUGUCAAACGUAGUUCACUAUAGGAAAUAGGUUCCCAUUUGAGACACAGGCAGAAACAACUACAACUGAAGCAGAACAUAGUCAGAAGUCGAGUGGGAGAGGUUAGGAAAGGGUGAGGAAGACAAGUAGGGGUGAGGCUGGGGGAGAGGUUAGGAAAGGGUGAGGAAAGAGUGAGGAAGACAAGUAGGGGUGAGGCUGGGGGAGAGGUUAGAGAUGGUUUUCAGACCACAGAGACGAUGACAACCCCUUCAUUUGGUCUGAUGAUGAUGGUAGUGACGAUGAUGAUAGUGAUGAAGAUGAUGACGAAGACGUGAUAAUAAUGAUUUUGAUGAUGAUGUAGUGUUAAGCUGAAUCCAUGUCUUCCUGAUAGAAGUCAAAAUAGUAGAGGAUCAACGUUUGUCAUUUUUAACAUUUACUAACAACAUAAUGUUUACAUGUGUCGCAUCAGCCCAGCUACAUGUGAAGUACUCGUCUUUCAUAAAGACUGCUCAUAACCUCGCCACUAGACUGGCAAAAACUAUCUGGAACAACAAAAACUAAAAGCAUUACAAAAUACAAAUGAAUAAAGGAACUUUGCACAUAUUUAUAUUUCUAAGAUAUUUCAAUACUUAAUAUUAAAGCGCACUUUUUUUUAAACCAAA